rnacentral:ncRNA from 1 species
AUUUUAAAUCGCCAAACUUGUCGUGAGGCAAGGUCGGAAAGCCACGGGUCUUCAGGUGUGAUUUGAAGAUGGCUGGGUUGCAUUG